GAUGAACGCUGACAGCAUGCUUAACACAUGCAAGUAAACUGUGGCGGACGGGUGAGUAACGCGUAAAGAACUUGCCUCAGAGUUAGGGACAACAUUUGGAAACGAAUGCUAAUACCUGAUACUGUGAGAGAGCUUUGCGUCCCAUUAGCUCGUUGGAGAUGUAACGGCUCACCAAGGAGAUGAUGGGUAGCCGGCCUGCGAGGGUGAUCGGCCACAAGGGGACUGAGACACGGCCCUUACUCCUUCGGGAGGCAGCAGUGGGGAAUAUUGGACAAUGGACCAAAGUCUGAACCAGCAAUUCUGUGUGCACGAUGAAGUUUUCGGAAUGUAAAGUGCUUUCAGUUGGGAAGCGGUACCAACAGAAGAAGUGACGGCUAACUACGUGCCAGCAGCCGCGGUAAUAC
rnacentral:rRNA from 1 species